rnacentral:rRNA from 1 species
UACGUAGGGGGCUAGCGUUGUCCGGAUUUAUUGGGCGUAAAGAGCGUGUAGGCGGCCAGAUAGGUCUGCUGUGAAAACUCGAGGCUCAACCUCGAGACGUCGGCGGAAACCAUCUGGCUAGAGUCCGGAAGAGGAGAGUGGAAUUCCUGGUGUAGCGGUGAAAUGCGUAGAUAUCGGGAGGAACACCAGUGGCGAAGGCGACUUCCUGGCCUGUUCUUGACGCUGAGGCGCGAAAGCUAGGGGAGCAAACGGG